GAUGAACGCUGGCGGCGUGCCUAAUACAUGCAAGUCGAGCGAACGGACGAGAAGCUUGCUUCUCUGAUGUUAGCGGCGGACGGGUGAGUAACACGUGGAUAACCUACCUAUAAGACUGGGAUAACUUCGGGAAACCGGAGCUAAUACCGGAUGAUAUUUUGAACCGCAUGGUUCAAAAGUGAAAGACGGUCUUUCUGUCACUUAUAGAUGGAUCCGCGCUGCAUUAGCUAGUUGGUAAGGUAACGGCUUACCAAGGCAACGAUGCAUAGCCGACCUGAGAGGGGGAUCGGCCACACUGGAACUGAGACACGGUCCAGACUCCUACGGGAGGCAGCAGUAGGGAAUCGUCCGCAAUGGGCGAAAGCCUGACGGAGCAACGCCGCGUGAGUGAUGAAGGUCUUCGGAUCGUAAAACUCUGUUAUUAGGGAAGAACAUAUGUGUAAGUAACUGUGCACAUCUUGACGGUACCUAAUCAGAAAGCCACGGCUAACUACGUG
rnacentral:rRNA from 1 species